AGAGUUUGAUCAUGGCUCAGAUUGAACGCUGGCGGCAUGCCUUACACAUGCAAGUCGAACGGUAACAGGUUAAGCUGACGAGUGGCGAACGGGUGAGUAAUGUAUCGGAACGUGCCCAGUCGUGGGGGAUAACUGCUCGAAAGAGCAGCUAAUACCGCAUACGACCUGAGGGUGAAAGCGGGGGAUCGCAAGACCUCGCGCGAUUGGAGCGGCCGAUAUCAGAUUAGGUAGUUGGUGAGGUAAAGGCUCACCAAGCCGACGAUCUGUAGCUGGUCUGAGAGGACGACCAGCCACACUGGGACUGAGACACGGCCCAGACUCCUACGGGAGGCAGCAGUGGGGAAUUUUGGACAAUGGGCGCAAGCCUGAUCCAGCCAUGCCGCGUGCGGGAAGAAGGCCUUCGGGUUGUAAACCGCUUUUGUCAGGGAAGAAAAGGUUCUGGCUAAUACCUGGGACUCAUGACGGUACCUGAAGAAUAAGCACCGGCUAACUACGUGCCAGCAGCCGCGGUAAU
rnacentral:rRNA from 1 species